GUCAGCCUGGGAGACUACAGCCUGGUUCUUAAAAGAAUCUCCCACCCCCACCCCAAGACCCACAGCCCUGGUACGAAUUUAGAAGACAUGAUGUCUACAGAGCUGGCUGCAGUAUCUCAGCAGUGUUACAGCUAAAGUCAACAGGGCAGGCAGCACCUGCAGAGCCAGAAAGCCAAGGAACAUCAGACAACGGGGCCAUUUAAGUUGAGGGUAGAAGCUCAAAAAACCACACAGGCUGACAGAUAACAGUGACAGGAAGACAGGAUGGCUGCAGGGUCCUGAGAAGCUUGGCCUCCAACCAAGCUGACA